GACGAACGCUGGCGGCGUGCCUAAUACAUGCAAGUAGAACGCUGACGCGAGGAGCUUACUCUUCUUGGAUGAGUUGCGAACGGGUGAGUAACGCGUAGGUAACCUGCCUUGUAGCGGGGGAUAACUAUUGGAGACGAUAGCUAAUACCGCAUAACAAUGGAUGACACAUGUCAUUUAUUUGAAAGGGGCAAUUGCUCCACUACAAGAUGGACCUGCGUUGUAUUAGCUAGUAGGUGAGGUAAUGGCUCACCUAGGCGACGAUACAUAGCCGACCUGAGAGGGUGAUCGGCCACACUGGGACUGAGACACGGCCCAGACUCCUGCGGGAGGCAGCAGUAGGGAAUCUUCGGCAAUGGGGGCAACCCUGACCGAGCAACGCCGCGUGAGUGAAGAAGGGUUUCGGAUCGUAAAGCUCUGUUGUAAGUCAAGAACGGGUGUGAGAGUGGAAAGUUCACACUGUGACGGUAGCUUACCAGAAAGAGACGGCUAACUACGUG
rnacentral:rRNA from 1 species